GACGAACCGUGCAAACGUUAUUCGGAAUCACUGGGCAUAAAGGGCGCGUAGGCGGCUCCACAAGUCAGGGGUGAAAUCCGGCAGCUUAACUGUCGCAGUGCCUUUGAUACUGUGGAGCUAGAGGGAGGUAGGGGUCUGUGGAACUUCCGGUGGAGCGGUGAAAUGCGUAGAUAUCUGGAGGAACACCGGUGGCGAAGGCGGCAUCCUGGACCGGUAUUGACGCUGAGGCGCGAAAGCCAGGGGAGCAAACGGG
rnacentral:rRNA from 1 species